AUGAACGCUGGCGGCGUGCCUAAUACAUGCAAGUCGAGCGAACAGACGAGGAGCUUGCUCCUCUGACGUUAGCGGCGGACGGGUGAGUAACACGUGGAUAACCUACCUAUAAGACUGGGAUAACUUCGGGAAACCGGAGCUAAUACCGGAUAAUAUAUUGAACCGCAUGGUUCAAUAGUGAAAGACGGUUUUGCUGUCACUUAUAGAUGGAUCCGCGCCGCAUUAGCUAGUUGGUAAGGUAACGGCUUACCAAGGCAACGAUGCGUAGCCGACCUGAGAGGGUGAUCGGCCACACUGGAACUGAGACACGGUCCAGACUCCUACGGGAGGCAGCAGUAGGGAAUCUUCCGCAAUGGGCGAAAGCCUGACGGAGCAACGCCGCGUGAGUGAUGAAGGUCUUCGGAUCGUAAAACUCUGUUAUAAGGGAAGAACAAAUGUGUAAGUAACUAUGCACGUCUGGACGGUACCUAAUCAGAAAGCCACGGCUAACUACGUG
rnacentral:rRNA from 1 species